rnacentral:lncRNA from 1 species
GAGUGAAUAGUGAAGUUUGAGAGAGAGGCGAGUUGGAGAGCGGUCGAGAGUGGUGAGAAGGAGAGAGCGAUUGAGUGAGAUGGAGAGAGCUCAAAGACGAUAAAUAGUUUCUGUUCCCAUUUUUUUUCUUUUUAUUUGUUUCUUUAUAUUUGUUAAUAAAAUAAACAUUGAAACCUUUAAAACUUUUACGUUUAAUCUUCCCAUGCUUAGUUAAUGGUGUUUUUAGUUAAUACUGUACAUUAACAUAUCAUUUUUGGUAUUCCCAAUUCAUUAACCUCUAGAACCCAACAGCCAGGCGGCUGGGUUUUUUUGGGUAAUCCAACAAAUCUUUUUUUUAUUAUUAUUUUAGCUUUUAUUUUUUUUAAUUUUUU